rnacentral:rRNA from 1 species
UACGAAGGGGGCUAGCGUUGCUCGGAAUCACUGGGCGUAAAGCGCACGUAGGCGGAUUGCUAAGUCAGGGGUGAAAUCCUGGAGCUCAACUCCAGAACUGCCUUUGAUACUGGCGACCUUGAGUCCGGGGAGAGGUGAGUGGAACUGCGAGUGUAGAGGUGAAAUUCGUAGAUAUUCGCAAGAACACCAGUGGCGAAGGCGGCUCACUGGCCCGGUACUGACGCUGAGGUGCGAA